CUUCGCGUAGCUCAGUUGGUUAGAGCGUCGCACCGAGAGAAGCGAACGUCACGGGUUCAAAUCCCGUCGUGGAGC